rnacentral:rRNA from 1 species
UCCUGGCUCAGAACGAACGCUGGCGGCAGGCUAACACAUGCAAGUUGAGCGGGAUUGAUUGAUAGCUUGCUAUUAAUCAUGAGAGCAGCGCACUGGUGAGUAACACGUGGGAACAUACCUUUUGGUGGGGGACAACAGUUGGAAACGACUGCUAAUACCGCAUAAGCCCUGAGGGGGAAAGGAGAGAUUUGCCGAAAGAUUGGCCCGCGGAAGAUUAGGUAGUAGGUGGGGCAACGGCCUACCUAGCCGACGAUCUAUAGCUGGUCUGAGAGGACGAUCAGCCACAUUGGAACUGAGACACGGUCCAGACUCCUACGGGAGGCAGCAGUGAGGAAUAUUGGGCAAUGGAGGAAACUCUGACCCAGCCAUGCCGCGUGAGUGAAGAAGGUUUUCGGAUUGUAAAGCUCUUUCGGACGGGAAGAUAAUGACGGUACCGUCUAAAGAAGCACCGGCUAACUUCGUGCCAGCAGCAGC